rnacentral:rRNA from 1 species
UGGGGAAUAUUGGACAAUGGGCGCAAGCCUGAUCCAGCCAUACCGCGUGGGUGAAGAAGGCCUUCGGGUUGUAAAGCCCUUUUGUUGGGAAAGAAAUCUUGCCGGUUAAUACCUGGCGAGGAUGACGGUACCCAAAGAAUAAGCACCGGCUAACUUCGUGCCAGCAGCCGCGGUAAUACGAAGGGUGCAAGCGUUACUCGGAAUUACUGGGCGUAAAGCGUGCGUAGGUGGUGGUUUAAGUCUGCUGUGAAAGCCCUGGGCUCAACCUGGGAAUUGCAGUGGAUACUGGGUCACUAGAGUGUGGUAGAGGGAUGCGGAAUUUCCGGUGUAGCAGUGAAAUGCGUAGAGAUCGGAAGGAACAUCCGUGGCGAAGGCGGCAUCCUGGGCCAACACUGACACUGAGGCACGAAAGCGUGGGGAGCAAACAGGAUUAGAUACCCUGGUAGUCCACGCCCUAAACGAUGCGAACUGGAUGUUGGGUGCAACUUGGC